rnacentral:rRNA from 1 species
UGGGGAAUAUUGCACAAUGGGCGAAAGCCUGAUGCAGCAACGCCGCGUGCGGGAUGACGGCCUUCGGGUUGUAAACCGCUUUCAGCAGGGACGAAGGUUUUCUGACGGUACCUGCAGAAGAAGCACCGGCUAACUACGUGCCAGCAGCCGCGGUGAUACGUAGGGUGCGAGCGUUGUCCGGAAUUAUUGGGCGUAAGAGCUUGUAGGCGGUCCGUUGCGUCGGAAGUGAAACUCAGGGCUUAACCCUGAGCCUGCUUUCGAUACGGGCGGACUUGAGGGAUGUAGGGAGAACGGAAUUCCUGGUGGAGCGGUGGAAUGCGCAGAUAUCAGGAGGAACACCAGUGGCGAAGGCGGUUCUCUGGACAUUUCCUGACGCUGAGAAGCGAAAGCNUGGGGAGCAAAACAGGCUUAGAUACCCUGGUAGUCCACGCCGUAAACGGUGGCANUAGGUGUGGGACCCAUUCCACGGGUUCCGUGCCGUAGCUAACGCAUUAAGUGCCCCGCCU